ensembl:lncRNA
GAGUAAUGUAGGGUAUCUAAACAUUAUAUAAAGUGUCAUUGUUUAAAGUGACUAGUGAUAUAUUUAUUACAUACAUUUUUCCAUUAUUAAAGUGGCUAGAGAUUUGAGUCAGUAUGUUGGCAGCAGCCACUCAAUGUUAGUGGUGGGUGUUGUUGUCCUGUUGUCUUUGUCUACUCAGUUCCAGGUUGGAUGGUGUUUUCAAGUUCCAGGUUGGAUGGUGUUUUCAGGUUCCAGGUUGGAUGGUGUUUUCAGGUUCCAGGUUGGAUGGUGUUUUCAGUUCCAGGUUGGAUGAUGUUUUCAGGUUCCAGGUUGGAUGGUGUUUUCAGUUCCAGGUUGGAUGGUGUUUUCAGGUUCCAGGUUGGAUGGUGUUUUCAGUUCCAGGUUGGAUGGUGUUUUCAAGUUCCAGGUUGGAUGGUGUUUUCAGGUUCCAGGUUGGAUGGUGUUUUCAGGUUCCAGGUUGGAUGGUGUUUUCAGGAUCCAGGUUGGAUGGUGUUUUCAGGUUCCAGGUUGGAUGGUGAUUUCAGUUUGGAUGGUGUUUUCAGUUCCAGGUUGGAUGGUGAUUUCAGGUUUCAGGUUGGAUGGUGAUUUCAGGUUCCAGGUUGGAUGGUGUUUUCAGGUUCCAGGUUGGAUGGUGUUUUCAGGUUCCAGGUUAGAUGGUGAUUUCAGGUUCCAGGUUGGAUGGUGUUUUCAGGAUCCAGGUUGGAUGGUGUUUUCAGGUUCCAGGUUGGAUGGUGUUUUCAGGUUGGAUGGUGUUUUCAGGUUCCAGGUUGGAUGGUGUUUUCAGUUCCAGGUUGGAUGGUGAUUUCAGGUUCCAGGUUGGAUGGUGUUUUCAGUUCCAGGUUGGAUGAGGUUUUCAGUGUUUUCAGGUUUCUGUUGUUUGUUUGUCAGAGCAUUUGCUGUA